ACUAAGCGUACACGGUGGAUGCCCUGGCAGUCAGAGGCGAUGAAGGACGUGCUAAUCUGCGAAAAGCGCCGGCGAGGUGAUAUGAACCUUUGACCCGGCGAUGUCCGAAUGGGGAAACCCAGUGUGUUCCGACACACUAUCGUUAACUGAAUACAUAGGUUAACGAGGCGAACCGGGGGAACUGAAACAUCUAAGUACCCCGAGGAAAAGAAAUCAACCGAGAUUCCCCCAGUAGCGGCGAGCGAACGGGGAGCAGCCCAGAGUCUGAAUCAGCUUGUGUGUUAGUGGAAGCGUCUGGAAAGUCGCACGGUACAGGGUGAAAGUCCCGUACACGAAAGCACACAGGCUGUGAACUCGAAGAGUAGGGCGGGACACGUGGUAUCCUGUCUGAAUAUGGGGGGACCAUCCUCCAAGGCUAAAUACUCCUGACUGACCGAUAGUGAACCAGUACCGUGAGGGAAAGGCGAAAAGAACCCCGGCGAGGGGAGUGAAAAAGAACCUGAAACCGUGUACGUACAAGCAGUGGGAGCCUCUUUUAUGGGGUGACUGCGUACCUUUUGUAUAAUGGGUCAGCGACUUAUAUUCUGUAGCAAGGUUAACCGUAUAGGGGAGCCGAAGGGAAACCGAGUCUUAACUGGGCGUUAAGUUGCAGGGUAUAGACCCGAAACCCGGUGAUCUAGCCAUGGGCAGGUUGAAGGUUGGGUAACACUAACUGGAGGACCGAACCGACUAAUGUUGAAAAAUUAGCGGAUGACUUGUGGCUGGGGGUGAAAGGCCAAUCAAACCGGGAGAUAGCUGGUUCUCCCCGAAAGCUAUUUAGGUAGCGCCUCGUGAACUCAUCUUCGGGGGUAGAGCACUGUUUCGGCUAGGGGGCCAUCCCGGCUUACCAACCCGAUGCAAACUACGAAUACCGAAGAAUGUUAUCACGGGAGACACACGGCGGGUGCUAACGUCCGUCGUGAAGAGGGAAACAACCCAGACCGCCAGCUAAGGUCCCAAAGUCAUGGUUAAGUGGGAAACGAUGUGGGAAGGCACAGACAGCCAGGAUGUUGGCUUAGAAGCAGCCAUCAUUUAAAGAAAGCGUAAUAGCUCACUGGUCGAGUCGGCCUGCGCGGAAGAUGUAACGGGGCUAAACCAUGCACCGAAGCUGCGGCAGCGACACUAUGUGUUGUUGGGUAGGGGAGCGUUCUGUAAGCCGUUGAAGGUGUCCUGUGAGGGGUGCUGGAGGUAUCAGAAGUGCGAAUGCUGACAUAAGUAACGAUAAAGCGGGUGAAAAGCCCGCUCGCCGGAAGACCAAGGGUUCCUGUCCAACGUUAAUCGGGGCAGGGUGAGUCGACCCCUAAGGCGAGGCCGAAAGGCGUAGUCGAUGGGAAACAGGUUAAUAUUCCUGUACUUGGUGUUACUGCGAAGGGGGGACGGAGAAGGCUAUGUUAGCCGGGCGACGGUUGUCCCGGUUUAAGCAUGUAGGCGGAGGUUCCAGGUAAAUCCGGUUCCUUAUUAACGCUGAGGUGUGAUGACGAGGCACUACGGUGCUGAAGUAACAAAUGCCCUGCUUCCAGGAAAAGCCUCUAAGCAUCAGGUAACAUCAAAUCGUACCCCAAACCGACACAGGUGGUCAGGUAGAGAAUACCAAGGCGCUUGAGAGAACUCGGGUGAAGGAACUAGGCAAAAUGGUGCCGUAACUUCGGGAGAAGGCACGCUGAUAUGUAGGUGAAGCCCCUGCGGGUGGAGCUGAAAUCAGUCGAAGAUACCAGCUGGCUGCAACUGUUUAUUAAAAACACAGCACUGUGCAAACACGAAAGUGGACGUAUACGGUGUGACGCCUGCCCGGUGCCGGAAGGUUAAUUGAUGGGGUUAGCGGCAACGCGAAGCUCUUGAUCGAAGCCCCGGUAAACGGCGGCCGUAACUAUAACGGUCCUAAGGUAGCGAAAUUCCUUGUCGGGUAAGUUCCGACCUGCACGAAUGGCGUAAUGAUGGCCAGGCUGUCUCCACCCGAGACUCAGUGAAAUUGAACUCGCUGUGAAGAUGCAGUGUACCCGCGGCAAGACGGAAAGACCCCGUGAACCUUUACUAUAGCUUGACACUGAACACUGGUCCUUGAUGUGUAGGAUAGGUGGGAGGCUUUGAAGCGUGGACGCCAGUCUGCGUGGAGCCAACCUUGAAAUACCACCCUUUAAUGGCUGGUGUUCUAACGUAGACCCGUGAUCCGGGUUGCGGACAGUGUCUGGUGGGUAGUUUGACUGGGGCGGUCUCCUCCCAAAGAGUAACGGAGGAGCACGAAGGUUAGCUAAUCCUGGUCGGACAUCAGGAGGUUAGUGCAAUGGCAUAAGCUAGCUUGACUGCGAGAGUGACGGCUCGAGCAGGUGCGAAAGCAGGUCAUAGUGAUCCGGUGGUUCUGAAUGGAAGGGCCAUCGCUCAACGGAUAAAAGGUACUCCGGGGAUAACAGGCUGAUACCGCCCAAGAGUUCAUAUCGACGGCGGUGUUUGGCACCUCGAUGUCGGCUCAUCACAUCCUGGGGCUGAAGUAGGUCCCAAGGGUAUGGCUGUUCGCCAUUUAAAGUGGUACGCGAGCUGGGUUUAGAACGUCGUGAGACAGUUCGGUCCCUAUCUGCCGUGGGCGCUGGAGAAUUGAGGGGGGCUGCUCCUAGUACGAGAGGACCGGAGUGGACGCAUCACUGGUGUUCGGGUUGUCAUGCCAAUGGCACUGCCCGGUAGCUAAAUGCGGAAGAGAUAAGUGCUGAAAGCAUCUAAGCACGAAACUUGCCCCGAGAUGAGUUCUCCCUGAGACUUUAAGUCUCCUGAAGGAACGUUGAAGACUACGACGUUGAUAGGUCGGGUGUGUAAGCGCAGCGAUGCGUUGAGCUAACCGAUACUAAUGAACCGUGAGGCUUAACC
rnacentral:rRNA from 1 species